UAGGGAAUCUUCGGCAAUGGACGGAAGUCUGACCGAGCAACGCCGCGUGAGUGAAGAAGGUUUUCGGAUCGUAAAGCUCUGUUGUUAGAGAAGAACGUUGGUAGGAGUGGAAAAUCUACCAAGUGACGGUAACUAACCAGAAAGGGACGGCUAACUACGUGCCAGCAGCCGCGGUAAUACGUAGGGCCCGAGCGUUGUCCGGAUUUAUUGGGCGUAAAGCGAGCGCAGGCGGUUCUUUAAGUCUGAAGUUAAAGGCAGUGGCUUAACCAUUGUACGCUUUGGAAACUGGAGGACUUGGGUGCAGAAGGGGAAAGUGGAAUUCCAUGUGUAGCGGUGAAAUGCGUAGAUAUAUGGAGGGACACCGGUGGCGAAAGCGGCUCUCUGGUCUGUAACUGACGCUGAGGCUCGAAAGCGUGGGGAGCAAACAGG
rnacentral:rRNA from 1 species